GCAGUCGAGCGGACGAUGGGAGCUUGCUCCCUGAUGUUAGCGGCGGACGGGUGAGUAACACGUGGGUAACCUGCCUGUAAGACUGGGAUAACUCCGGGAAACCGGGGCUAAUACCGGAUGCUUGAUUGAACCGCAUGGUUCAAUUAUAAAAGGUGGCUUUUAGCUACCACUUACAGAUGGACCCGCGGCGCAUUAGCUAGUUGGUGAGGUAACGGCUCACCAAGGCAACGAUGCGUAGCCGACCUGAGAGGGUGAUCGGCCACACUGGGACUGAGACACGGCCCAGACUCCUACGGGA
rnacentral:rRNA from 1 species